CCGGUACGAAUGCGCAGGCUGAUGCGCAGCAGCGAGCCCAAGGUCUGCGGCCCAAAAGCUCUGCACGUUGGGUCGGCCAGGACGUCGUCGAUGUACGAGCGCGCCGAGGGGAUGACCAGCAAGGGCACCAGGA
rnacentral:rRNA from 1 species